AGAGUUCGAUUCUGGCUCAGGACGAACGCUGGCGGCGUGCCUAACACAUGCAAGUCGAACGGGGUACCCCGGACCGAGGCUUCGGCCGAGGGAAGGGACUACCUAGUGGCGGACGGGUGAGUAACGCGUGAGUAAUCUGCCUUCAGGAGGGGGAUAACAGCCGGAAACGGCUGCUAAUACCGCAUGAUGUCAGAGGGGAGCAUUUUUUUCUGACCAAAGAUUUAUCGCCUGAAGAUGAGCUCGCGUCUGAUUAGCUAGUUGGCGGGGUAACGGCCCACCAAGGCGACGAUCAGUAGCCGGACUGAGAGGUUGAACGGCCACAUUGGGACUGAGACACGGCCCAG
rnacentral:rRNA from 1 species